AGAACGAACGCUGGCGGCAUGCCUAAUACAUGCAAGUCGAACGAACACUUCGGUGUUAGUGGCGCACGGGUGCGUAACGCGUGGGAAUCUGCCCUUGGGUUCGGAAUAACAGUUGGAAACGACUGCUAAUACCGGAUGAUAUCGAAAGAUCAAAGAUUUAUCGCCCAGGGAUGAGCCCGCGUAGGAUUAGCUAGUUGGUGAGGUAAAGGCUCACCAAGGCGACGAUCCUUAGCUGGUCUGAGAGGAUGAUCAGCCACACUGGGACUGAGACACGGCCCAGACCUCCUACGGGAGGCCAGCAGUAGGGAAUAGUUGGAC
rnacentral:rRNA from 1 species